AUACUUACCUGGCAGGGGAGAUACCAUGAUCACGAGGGUGGUUUUCCCGGGGCGAGGCUUAUCCAUUGCACUCCGGAUGUGCUGACCCCUGCGAUUUCCCCAAAUGUGGGAAACUCGACUGCAAAAAA
rnacentral:snRNA from 1 species